rnacentral:rRNA from 1 species
UUAAGCAUAUCAAUAAGCGGAGGAAAAGAAACCAACAGGGAUUACCUCAGUAACGGCGAGUGAAGCGGUAACAGCUCAAAUUUGAAAUCUGGGUCUUUCAGGCUCCGAGUUGUAAUUUGUAGAAGAUGCUUCGGGUGCGGCUCCGGUCUAAGUUCCUUGGAACAGGACGUCAUAGAGGGUGAGAAUCCCGUAUGUGAUCGGCCGCUUGCGCCCAUGUGAAGCUCUUUCGACGAGUCGAGUUGUUUGGGAAUGCAGCUCCAAAUGGGUGGUAUAUUUCAUCUAAAGCUAAAUAUUGGCCAGAGACCGAUAGCGCACAAGUAGAGUGAUCGAAAGAUGAAAAGCACUUUGGAAAGAGAGUUAAACAGUACGUGAAAUUGUUGAAAGGGAAGCGCUUGCAACCAGACUUGCGUGUUGUUGAUCAUCCGGGGUUCUCCCCGGUGCACUCGACCUCACUCAGGCCAGCAUCGGUUUCGGUGGUUGGAUAAAGGCCUUGGGAAUGUAGCUCCUCUCGGGGAGUGUUAUAGCCCUCGGUGCAAUGCAGCCUACCGGGACCGAGGACCGCGCUUCGGCUAGGAUGCUGGCGUAAUGGUUGUAAGCGACCCGUCUUGAAACACGGACCAAGGAGUCUAACAUCUAUGCGAGUGUUUGGGUGUCAAACCCAUACGCGUAAUGAAAGUGAACGGAGGUGAGAACCCUUAAGGGUGCAUCAUCGACCGAUCCUGAUGUCUUCGGAUGGAUUUGAGUAAGAGCAUAGCUGUUGGGACCCGAAAGAUGGUGAACUAUGCCUGAAUAGGGUGAAGCCAGAGGAAACUCUGGUGGAGGCUCGCAGCGGUUCUGACGUGCAAAUCGAUCGUCAAAUUUGGGUAUAGGGGCGAAAGACUAAUCGAACCAUCUAGUAGCUGGUUCCUGCCGAA